UUUUUUUUUUCUUUUUUGGUAACUAUACUUAUCUUCCAGGGAAGUGUCCUUCACCCAAUCCACAGGGGUGGGCAUGCCACCAGGGCCCAGACAGUCAUAGUGCCCAAGCUGGGGGGCAGGGGUGUUUGCUGUGACAGCAAAUGCAAGGACAUGAAAUGCUUGGGACAGGGAGGCAUCAUAAAAAAACCCACCUUCCAUGGUCACUAAAUUGAGGCAUAAUUAAAAAGUUUAGCUCCAUGAAAAGAUGAACCAGCCGCUGGUGUCUGAGGCAUGGGAAAGAGCCGAGGCCCGCAGGGGUACAGGCGAGAAAUAAAGCAGUAAGGUGGGUCCUGCCUGUUACCACCCAACUCACUCAGGCAACACCUCCUCAGAACCACCAGGUAGGGGGAAGGCAGGGCCACCAGGGCACCAAAGGAAGAAGAGGAGGAACUGGAGGUUCCUGUGCCCCUGUCCAUAGGGCUGAGUCCAGAGACAUUGUGCUGGUGAGAGAGCCGAGCCACCUACAAGGGUUUUGAAGGGGCCUGGGUGAUGAGAGCCCUGGAUAGAGUCACAGUGACUAGGCUUGUCUGGAUGAGAACAGUUUUUUUGUUGUUGUUGUUGUUUUGUUUUUGUUUUUUGCCAUUUCUUAGGCUGCUCCUGCAGCAUAUGGAGGUUCCCAGGCUAGGGGUCAAAUCGGAGCUGUAGCCACCGGCCUACGCCAGAGAUAGCAACACAGAAUCCGAGCCACGUCUGCAACCUACACCACAGCUCAUGGCAACACCGGAUCCUUAACCCACUGAGCAAGGACAGGGAUCGAACCCUCGACCUCAUAGUUCCUAGUUGGAUUUGUUAACCACUGAGCCACGACGGGAACUCCUGGAUGAGAACAGUUUUUAAGAGUUCCCUGUUGGCUCAGCAGGUUAAGGAUCGGGCAUUGUCACUAUUGCAGCUCGGGGUCACUGCCGCGGCUUCUAUCCCUUGCCCGGGAACUUCUGCAUGCUGAGAGUGCAGCCAAAACAAAAACAAAAACAAAACAAAACAAAACAGCCUUUUACCAGGAGGAAGGGAGACGAGAAAAGCCUUCACAACUCUCUCACGCUGAUAAAGGUUGAGUGUGGUCUCUUCCAGGGACUUCUUUUCACAUUGAGCAGUUCAUGAUCUCUCUAAACUUGGGGCUCCUCUGCAUCCAUAAAAUGGCCAACAUAGCACCUUCCUCACUGGCUUUUGGGGACUAAAUGAGAUGGUGCCUGGUAGGCACUGAGCCUGACAGAUACUAGAUUCCCAAUAUAAUGUUCUUCAUUUGCAAAACUGAGUUGGUCUUGGCAUCGAGCAGACUCAAUACAUGAGCAGAGGCUGUAGCCAAAAGCAAGGAACAACUGCUCUUUGUUCAUUAAACCUUUUUGAGCACCUUCCAGGCACUACUGCCAGGAACCUGAACACCUGGGGUGGCGGAACCGUUGGCCACACCCACUCACACCCUCCAGUGGGAACUGUCUCUAGGGGGCACGGUUGGGCAUCCGAUCCGGCACAGCUGCGUACAAGAGCAAUAGCCCACCUUUGCUGUGCACAUGCCACAUGAAAGCUAACCAUCGGAGGGCACAUGGAGAGACAGCCGACUGUACUGCUUCAGGGCAGGCACACCUGGUUUUAUUGCAUUUUGCAGAUAUUGAAUUUUUUCUUUCUUUAAAAAAAAAACAAACAAAUUUAAGAUUUGUGGCAACUCUUAGUUGAGCGAGUCUAUUGGUAACCGUUUUUCCAACAGCAUUUGCUCACUUUGUGUUUCUGUAUCACAUUUUGGUAUUUCUUGCAAUAUUUCAAACUUUUCAUUAUUAUGUUUGCUACGGUGGUCACUGAUCUUUGAUGUUGCUGUUGUGACUGGGAGCACUGUCAAUAGCAUACAUAUAAGGCAGUGAACGUGAUUCCUAGAUGUUUUGUGUUCUGACUUCUCCACCAACCAGCCGAUGCCCCCUUGCCUCUCCUCAAGUCUCCCUAGUCCCUGAGACACAACGAUAUUGAAAUUAGGCCAACUGCAGUUCCCGUCGUGGGCAGCAGAAAUGAAUCCACCUAGGAAGCAUGAGGUUGAGGGUUUGAUCCCUGGCCUCGCUCAGUGCGUUAAGGAUCCAGCAUUACUGUGAGCUGUGGUGUAGGUCGUGGACGUGGCUCGGAUCCCUCGUUGCUGUGGUUGUGGCAUAGGUCAGCAGAUGUAGCUCUAAUUUGACCCCUAGCCUGGGGACCUCCAUAGGCCAAGGGUGAGUCCCUGAAGAGCAAAGAAAGAAAGACAGAGAGGGAGAGAGAGAAAGAAAGAAGGAAAGAAAGAAAGGAAGGAAGGAAGGAAGGAAGGAAGGACCAAAGAGAGAAAAAGAAAGAAAGAAAUUAGGCCAAUUAAUAACCCUAUGAUGGCCUCUAAGUAUUUAAGUGAAAGGGAGAGUUACAGGUCUCUAACUUUUUGUUUUUUGUUUGUUUGUUUGUUUUGUCUUUUUGCCUUUUCUAGGGCUGCUCCUGUGGCAUAUGAAGGUUCCCAAGCUAGGGGUCCAAUCGGAGCUGUAGCCACCGGCCUACGCCACAGCCACAGCAACGCAAGAUCCGACCAGCGUCUUCGACCUACACCUACACCAUAGCUCACGGCAAUGCUGGAUCCUUAACCCACUAAGCAAGGGCAGGGAUCGAACCUGCAACCUCAUGGUUCCUAGUUGGAUUCGUUAACCACUGCGCCACAACGGGAAUUCCUGGUCUCUCACUUUUAAUUAGAAUGAUUUAGAAAUCACUUAGAAAUGGUUGAGCUUAGCGAGGAAAGCGUGUUGAAAGCCAAGACAGGCCGAAAGCUGGGCCUCUUGUGCCUAAGUAAGGCAAGGUGUAAAUGCAAAGGCAAAUUUCUUGAAGGAAAGGUAAAGGGCGGCUCCCCUGGAGCCAAGAAUGACAAGAAAGCGAAACGGCCCUCUUGCCUAAGAGCCAAGGAAGGGUCCAGAAGCAGAGACUGGAUGUUUAGGAAUAAAUCUCUGUAGCUGACUCAAGAGAGAGAGACAUGAGAUCCUUGGAUAUUCCUUUUAUUUAUCGGUGGUAGGAAGUACACUUCUUUUGUAGAUAAUAAAAAAGGGAGGCUCAGAGAAGUUCGGGAACCUGCUUAAGAUCCCUCAUCCAAUGAGUCCAAGCCAAGAACACUUCCAGCCUCAAAGGCCACUUUGUUUCCGCUCUACUACAUACCCAUUCACUGGAAAAGCUGUGUCAUCUGAUGGUCAGGAGCACACAGUUUGGAACCAGACCGCCUCAACCUCCUCAUCUUGAAAGUAAGGAUAAUGUCCUCACCUCAGAACACUAUUAUGAAGAUUACACUGUUGGUAAGUGCAGGAGUUCCCACUGUGGCUCAGCAGGUUAAGGACCUAAUGUUGUCUCUAUGAGGAUGCAGGUUUGAUGCCUGGCCUCACUCACUGGGUUAAGGAUCCAGAGGUGCCACAAGCUGCGGUGUAACUCACAGAUCAGUGCCAGAUCCUUAACCCACUGAGCCAGGCCAGGGAUUGAACCCGCGUCCUCAUGGAUGCUAGUCAGGUUUGUUAACCGCUGAGCCACGACAGGAACUCCUAGCGAUUCUUUCUCACAUCAAAUCCACAUCCCUCCUGCUGCAAGGAAACUACUACCCUUUUCUUGUCAGUCCUUGUCUGAAACAGAGGACAGCUGUUCUCACUUGCGCAAAGCUCUUGAGGACUAACUGAUCAAGAGGCUGGGGGUGGAGGGUAAAGGAAGAACUGUCUGACCUUGGUUCUGGAUAAGCCCUCAGGGAAAAUGCUUCUCUUCUUCCAGGACCCUAAUGAGCUAAACAGAAGGACAUUCAAGUGGCAGCUCCUAGACUUCACUCCUGGACUUGGAGUGUUACUGUUCAGACUGUUUCUUCACUUAAAAGUGAGUUUUGUGACACAAAAGGAAGGACAGGUAAAGCCAAGAUAUGAACUGGCUGUUUUCUGUAACCUACCGAAACAAGAACGGCACGUGACAUGCCUUUAAAAUCUGUGGAUUUGUUCCAAGGGACGAGUAUGGGUUGAUAAACUGAACAGAGGUUGUCAUCUGAGUGUCUUAGGGGACCUAGCUCAAGUGUCAUGUUCCUGUUUGUUUGGGGCUGUGAGGUUUGUGUUCACAGCUUCAUGGUUAUUCCCAGCACUUAAGGAGAAAAAAACGACCCUACCUGUUCAGUGACUAAUGGGUGGAAAAGAAGUCUGCAAUCCAUCCGGCAGAGUGGCUCAUUCUUUCCCCUCCUGCCCCGAUGCCAUGCUAUUUAGUUAUGAGUGUGUCUUUCCCGUUUUCCCCAUUGGGAUUGCUACAUUCUUGCUGUUGUCUUGGGCAGAUUACCAAAAUGGAGUUUAUGAUUCAUUGACCCAAAUUAUGUUCCCACUGACAAUAUCUGCAGAAAUUCGGUUCAACAAUGGCUUGCUGAGUUUACUGAAAACAUACAUCGCUCCCUGGAAUUCACCCACCCCAAUCAGGCCAACAGAAGAGCAAAUUAAAUCUUAUCUCCUUGGAUGUCCUUGAGGAAGAACAUCCUGGUCUUGGCAGUUCACUGCAUAUUUACAAAAAGCUACGAGAAAGCAAGAUCAUGAACAGGUCUUCUGUGAAUUGCAGUUAAAUCCCUAGGCCUAUGUGAAAGACCUCUCGGUAUGGACAACAACCUAUUUUCCUAAAUCACAACCCUGGGAUGAAGGUCCCAUGCUCGUUUUUUUGUGUGUGUGCGCGAGAAGCACGGGUAGGCAUUUUUCCCAGCAAGCAUGUGAAGUGCGUAGCAACCAGGCUCUAUCUUUGAUUUCUCUUGCCCAUGAUCCAAGGGAGGAAGCAAAGUAAUAUAAAAGUUAAGAAAGCAAACAUAUAUUGCUUUCCUGGAUAGAUCAACUUCUCCCAUAGUGAUUUUUGCCUUUGUACACUUUGUCUUUGAAUGACAUAAAGUAAAAGGUAAAAUCCUAGUUCAUUAGUUUAUAACCUGUUGAGCAGAGGUGGGUGGAAUCCUUGCAAAGCAAAAUAGAAGCAUGAGGAUGGAGCGGGCAUACUCUGUCCUGUCUUUCCCACUGAAUUCAGUUAUAAAAACUGGAAAGAAUUCAUGAAGCAGCUAUUUAAGGACUGUGAAAAAUAAAUGAUAGCAGGUAGAUUGGGAAAGAAGACCAGAAUUUGAAGUACCACAGAACCAGCACUGAGUUCCCUCUUCCCACUUUUUUCCCCUUGGUGUCCCUUGGCUGGACUCAAAGCAGCCUAAAAACUGAAAGUGAGAAUGAGACAUGAGUAGAGAGUUCCAGGCGAAGCCCUCCACUUCUAGCUCAACAAGCAGAAAGGAAACUCCUAAUGCUUAGCAGGAGUGGAGAAAAUGGUCCAUUUUUCUUUUCUCUGUUUUAUGGUCCCCUAGUCCCCAGACAAUCCUGAGGAGGUGGGGACAUCCCAGAAGUGGGAUCCAUGGCACUAAAACCAUGAGAAAAGGGAAACUCCCACUCUGAUUUGAGGAGCUGUGGUCUCCGGGCAGUGGGCUAUUUCUCUCUGUUCUGCUGCCACUUGGCCCCAGAUGUAGAUGCGCUCACGGAAGUAGGCGGCAGAGCAAGGGAACUAGAGCCCCAGCUCUCAGAUUAAGGGAAUGAAAAAUGGAGCCUCGGGGAGCCAGAAAGUACGGGGGAGUUUGUGGGUAGGGAGGAUCUUGGGACAUUGUUGAUGAAUUCCUGAGCUUAUCCACAAGCUUCGCAUGCAUGAACCUGACUCUAAACAACAUACUACAGACUUUGAAGACUGAACUAUGGGAGAGACCACAGCCCGCAUCCAAGGCUGGCCACAGGGUCAUUACAUGAGGGGCAGAUCAGAGUCGCAUUGCAAAGGCUUUAAAAACUGAAUUGACAUUGGAACCACUCACACAGAAGUAUAUAGCUGGAACAUAUAGCUGGAACAACCCAGCUUAGCUGCCUACUAAACCAAAAGCAUCAGCAAUCUCCAUGGGAUUUAAACAAGACCCAGAGUCUCAUAACAUAAUAUUGAAAGUAUCCAAAAUAUAAUUAAAAAUUUCAAGGCAUACAAUGAACCAAAAACAUUUCAACUUGCAUAGGAAGAGCUAGUCAACAGAUGUCAACAGUAAGAUGAUACAGAUGUUGGAAUAAUCAAAGACUUUAAAGCAACUAUUAUAAGAUUCCUCGAGGAAGUAAGGUAGAACGUUCUUGACUGAAAUAGAAUGGUAGAAAGUCUCAGUAAAGAAAUAGAAUUAUUUAAAAAAAGAAAAGAACAAAAUGGUAAUUUUAGAAUUAGAUAAUACAGUAACUAAACUUCUAAGAAUACAUGGGCAUUCUCGUCAUGGCUCAGAGGAAACAAAUCUGACUAGUAUCCAUGAUGAUGCAGGUUUGAUCCCUGGCCCCGCUCAGCGGGUCUGGGAUCUGAUGAUGCCGAGAGCUGUAGUGUAGGUCACAGACUCGGCUUGGAUCUUUCGAUGCUCUGGCUGUGGCAUAGGCCAGCAGCUGUAACUCGAUUUGACCUGGGAACUUCUAUAUGCCACAGGUGUGGCCCUAAAAAGCAAAAUAAAAUAAAAUAAAAAAAUACAUGGAUGGAUGUAAAUCAACUAUAAUAAAUUUUUUAAAUAAACAAGAAAAGAUAUUAAAAUAUAUGGAUGGGUCCAUUUUAUUUAUUAUAUUUAAAAACGGCAGAAUGGAGAUGCUAGAGGAAAGAAUCAAUGAACUUGAAAAUAAAUCAAUAGAAAUCAUCUAAUCUCAACAACAGUAAAGAAAAAAAUUGAAAACAAACAAAAAAGAGGAGUACCUCAGGGACAUAUGGGACAUUGCCAAAGUCAUUGGACAUUUUUAGGUCUAAUAUUGAUGUCAUUGGCAUCUUAGAAAGAGAACAGAAAGAAUGCAGUGCAGAAAAAUUAUUAGAGGAAAUAACGACUUGAACUUUCCAUAUUUUGUGAAAGACAUAUUUUUUUAAUGGCUGCGCUCAUGGUAUUUGGAAGUUUCUGGGUCAGGGAUUGAAUCCAACCCUCAGCUGUGGCAACGCUGGAUCCUUUAACCCACUGCGUCAGGCCAGGGAGUGAACCUGCACCUCUGCAGCCAUCUGAGCCACUGCAGUCGGAUUCUUAACCCACUGCACCACAGUGGGAACCCCCAAAGAUAUUAAUAUUUAGAUUCAAGCCGUUCAGCGAACUUGCAAAAGCAGAAAUCCAAAGACAUCCAUAUCAAGAGACACUAUAAUUAAAUUGUUGAAAACCAAAGGAAAAAAAAAAUCUGGAAGCAGCUAUAGAGAGAGGACACAACAGGAUAUAAUAAAGAUAAGAGCAGAAAUCAAGGAUAAUGAAAACAAACAAACAAACAAACAAACAAAAAACCGAGAG
rnacentral:lncRNA from 1 species